rnacentral:misc_RNA from 1 species
UGGUUCCGGUCUCUUCGGCCAGGA